UCGGUCCAGUUACAAGGUUUUACAUGUAAUCCAUGAUCCAUCUCAAGUUAAUUGAAGAAUGUGGUGUGAGUGGGAAACCACCAAACAAGUUUGAAAAACAC